GGGCGAUUAGCUCAGCUGGUAGAGCGCUUCGUUUACACCGAAGAUGUCGGCGGUUCGAGUCCGUCAUCGCCCA
rnacentral:tRNA from 1 species